UCAAACGUCAGUUCUCUGCCCUUAUCCCAGCCUUUGACCCCAGGCCAGGACGUACUAAUGUCAACCAGACCCAAGACUUUGACAUCCCACCACCAGGAACAGAAGAAAAAGUUGCCAGUGACAGUCAGACGUUUGUCUCACAACCUAAACUUUGUUUGACCCUAAAGGCACCGUGUUUACCUGGGAUGAAUGAUGAAGAAGUUGUUCUUACUAGC
rnacentral:sRNA from 1 species